UAGCCGCCCUUUGCUCUGAUUACUGCUUUGCACACUCUUGGCAUUCUCUCGAUGAGCUUCAAGAGGUCGUCACCUGAAAUGGUUUCCAGCAGUCUUGAAGGAGUUCCCAGAGGUGUUUAGCACUUGUUGGCCCCUCAAAGCAGAGGCCACAUUUCGUUGUGUCACCGCGCUGCCGUGUUUCACUUCUUACUUUUAUCCACGAAGUGGAGAGUGAAUGAAUCCUGAAUAAUUAAAGAAGAAGCUGGUCCGUACCGCUUUAUUAUUCUGAGCCCGUCCCGGUGAAGGCGACGCGGUGGCCGCUCGGUUAUCCUCGCGCGCCCCCUGGCGGCGCGGCUGCGCGUAACAUUUCGGGAGAAGUUGGGUUACACGUCAGCGUGGAACGUGUACUGGUGAGUGGACGUGUGCGGUGACCUCAACACUUCCUGCGUAUCAGCUGACCCGGGCCGCGGCCGGAGAUGGAACGUGUGGUGGAAAUGCCCAACAACAGCGGUUUCUCCAUCCCAGGCACCUCCGGCACCCCGCGCAAGCGCCAGGUGCGCUUCUCCGCCCGCCACGACAUCCUGCUCCUGCGGGAGGUCAUCGCCCAGAACCCGUUCGCCUCCAAGGAGUCGGGGCGCAUUUGGGCGCGCGUCGGGGAGAUCAUCACCGCCGCCCUGCAGGACGAGAGCUUCGAGGUGGACGCCCGGCGCUGCCGAGAGAGGACCAUGCUCCUGCUGGACUACUACAAGAAGCAGGACUUCGGCAGCCUGCGCAGGUUUGGGACGGAGAGGUUGUACGCUCAGAAGGAAGACCUGCUCCAUGAGGUGCUGGAGCUGGAGGCAGAGAAGGGGCUUAUGGGAAGCGGCGAGGGCAAGUAUCAGGACGAGGAGAUGAGGAAGCGGGCCGUGGAGGAGCUAGUGCUGCCAGAGCCUGAGAAACCCGGCCUGCUGACGGCCAACGCAGUGCCACACGCUGAGGCCGAGGAGCCGGAGGAGCUGGCGGAGCUGGCAGCGCCCACAGCCAAGCGGCCGUGCCAGUGCUGUUGCCAGACAUACUCGGAGAUCCUGAGCUUCCUGGAGAAGCGUUCGGAGGCGGAGCAGCGGCUGCGGGAGGAGGAGAUGGCGCUGCGCCGCGAGGAGCUGGAGAUCCAGCGUAGCAAGAUUGCCCUGGAGCGGGAGCGACUGAGCGCAGAGCGGAAGGAGCGGGAGCGGCGCUUCGAGCUGGAGAGCCAGGAGAGGCAGGUCAUCCUGGACCUUCUCAAGGAGAAGGUGCUGAAGAGCUGAGGAAGCUUCCUGCAGACAUCAUCGUGGUGACCUGUAGGGUUCAACGCCAUGGCCCCAGCACCAGGAGCUCUUCAGGGCCCAGUAACUGACAGACGCCAAGCGGCCCAGAAGUGGGCGGAGUUUGUACUGAUGACUGAUUACAUCAUCUCACUCAACGAGCAACGAUGGC
rnacentral:lncRNA from 1 species